UUCCCCUAGUAACGGCGAGUGAAGCGGGACCAGCUCAAACUUAAAAUCUCCGUUGCUUGCAACGGCGAAUUGUAGUCUUGAGGAACGUUUUCAAGGCGAAUGCGCAGUACUUAAGUUGCUUGGAACGGCACAUCGUAGAGGGUGACAAUCCCGUACGCGGUACUGUGCAUCGUUCACGAUGCGUUUCCUAUGAGUCGGGUUGCUUGGGAAUGCAGCCCAAAUUUGGAGGUAAACUCCUUCUAAAGCUAAAUAUUGGCACGAGACCGAUAGCGAACAAGUACCGUGAGGGAAAGAUGAAAAGCACUUUGAAAAGAAAGUUAAUAGUACGUGAAACCGUUAGAAGGGAAGCGCAUGGAAUUAGCAAUACGCUGUCGAGAUUCAGACGAUCGGUGUUGAGUACGGGCUUCGUACGGAUCUGAAUGGACCGUUGGAGUUCGUCACGCUGCACUGGUUGUCGCACUUCCCGUCAGUGUGCGUCAACAGGUGUUGGGACCGAGUGAUACGCCCCGCAAGAAGGUGGCUGGCUUCGGCUAGUGUUAUAGCUUGUGGUGUGCUAGCUCGGACCCGACAGAGGCGUCGCAGCACAUGCCCUCACGGGCUGGCUUCUGUUUCCUCCGUCUGGCGUGACCAUAAUGGACUGCGUGCAGUGCGUUUGAACUUCGUUGGGCUGUCGGAGGCAAGAAUGCACACUAUGUGCUUAGGUUGUUGGCGGUCAUAUGAUUUCAUGCGACCCGUCUUGAAACACGGACCAAGGAGUCUAACAUGUGUGCGAGUCUUAGGGUGAUUGAAACCCGCAGGCACAAUGAAAGUAAAGGCUUUUCGGAGCUGAGGUGAGAUCUCUUCGAUUUCGGUUGGAGAGCGCAUCAUCGACCGACCUAUUCUACUCCUAGAAAGGUUUGAGUAAGAGCACAUCUGUUGGGACCCGAAAGAUGGUGAACUAUGCUUGAGUAGGGCGAAGCCAGAGG
rnacentral:rRNA from 1 species